rnacentral:rRNA from 1 species
GACGAACGCUGGCGGCGUGCUUAACACAUGCAAGUCGAACGGAAAGGCCCUGCUUUUGUGGGGUGCUCGAGUGGCGAACGGGUGAGUAACACGUGAGUAACCUGCCCUUGACUUUGGGAUAACUUCAGGAAACUGGGGCUAAUACCGGAUAGGAGCUCCUGCUGCAUGGUGGGGGUUGGAAAGUUUCGGCGGUUGGGGAUGGACUCGCGGCUUAUCAGCUUGUUGGUGGGGUAGUGGCUUACCAAGGCUUUGACGGGUAGCCGGCCUGAGAGGGUGACCGGCCACAUUGGGACUGAGAUACGGCCCAGACUCCUACCGGAGGCAGCAGUGGGGAAUAUUGCACAAUGGGCGGAAGCCUGAUGCAGCAACGCCGCGUGCGUGAUGACGGCCUUCGGGUUGUAAACCGCUUUCGCCUGUGACGAAGCGUGAGUGACGGUAAUGGGUAAAGAAGCACCGGCUAACUACGUG